rnacentral:lncRNA from 1 species
GAAGGGAGAGAAAACAAAGGAGGACACUCUGAGGAGACGGGUCUUGUGAGGAGGCCGAGAAGUUUGGGCAGAGGGGUCUGGCGUUGCCUGAGGGAGAAGGAAGGUUCGGGAAUGUAAACAUCUUUAAGAAGGGUGUGAUAGUUUGGUUUGCUGUUAACUCUGCGUGAACUCCCUUCUGACUGGACAGAGUUCCCACCAUUCCUGAAGGAGGUGCUACACGGCGAG